UUUGGGGAGGCAUAAGAGGUGUGGCCUGUGUCACUGGGGGUGGGCUUUAAAAGCUUAAAAACUUGUACUAUUCAGAGUUUCCUUUCUGUGCCUGUUUCCUGUUUGUGGUUUGCAAACACACAACCUCAACCUUUAUCAAUCAGCUCCAGCCACCGUGCCUGCUUCCUGCCUUGGUGCCAUGCUUCCCCACCAAGAUGAUGAUGGACGUUUGCCCUCUGAAACCAUGAGCCACAAGUUUUUAUUAAGACCAAUGAGGAUUCGUUCUACAUGUCCGUGAGUACAUCAAAGCAAGAGAUGGAAUUGGUCUCCUCACAGUCUUCAGCAGGACCAGCAUCCCAUGCAGAAAAGGUGAUCUACCAUGCAGGCCUCCCUGAAGGCUAGGCAGGCAGCAAGGAUUCAGAGGACAGGAGGAAGACUGUGGUUCUGAGUGACAGCAAUUCCAAUCUUACUGAGGACUUUUUUAGUUUUUGUGGAUCAGACCGACUUGCCAACCUGCCAGAGAUCUCGGAGCAGGAGUCUGCCCAACUCACCACUUCCUGACUGUUUUACACAAUAAACACCUAUUCAGUGUUGGAUGGACGAACUUCAUGCCGGAAGUCGGAUCAUGGGACAUCAAGCGAUGCUUAGACAAUGCUUGGCAUCUAUACUCAUGCUAA